rnacentral:rRNA from 1 species
CCUACGGGUGGCAGCAGUGGGGAAUAUUGCACAAUGGGGGAAACCCUGAUGCAGCGACGCCGCGUGAAGGAAGAAGUAUUUCGGUAUGUAAACUUCUAUCAGCAGGGAAGAAAAUGACGGUACCUGACUAAGAAGCCCCUGCUAACUACGUGCCAGCAGCCGCGGUAAUACGGAGGAUGCGCGGGUUAUCCGGAUGUAUUGGGUUUAACGGGUGCGUAGGCGGAUCGUUAAGUCAGUGGUCAAAUCGAGGGGCUAAACCCCUUCCCGCCAUUGAAACUGGCGCUCUUGAGUGGAAGAGAGGUAUGCGGAAUGCGUGGUGUAGCGGUGAAAUGCAUAGAUAUGACGCAGAACCCCGAUGGCGAAGGCAGCAUGCCGGCUUCCGACUGACGCUGAAGCACGAAAGCGUGGGGAUCGAACAGGAUUAGAUACCCGUGUAGUC